rnacentral:snoRNA from 1 species
CCUCCUUUUCUUGGCAGGGACCGGGCUUGUGGUCCCACUCCCUGUAAUGUACAGAGGAAGAAAGGGCUCUGCCCGCCUCGGCAUCAUGUCUUCAGUGCCGGUGGCUUCCCAUCCUCUGGUUCUAUCCUCAAGCGCCAAGACACAG